rnacentral:misc_RNA from 1 species
UUUCCGUAGGUGAACCUGCGGAAGGAUCAUUAAAAAAUUGGACUCCAUUGGUGAGUUCAUUAAUAAUCCCACCCUUUGUGAAUUUGUUUGUUUGAAUAAUUUUUUUUCCAAAAAAAAUUAUUGAAUGUCUUUCCUUGUUUUGGUGGAGCUUGUAAAGUGAAACCAGGCAGGGGAAUGGCAAACAAUAAUUGUUUUUGAAAAAGACCUUUUUUUAAAAUUAAACUUUUUGUAUUCAUUUGUCUAAAAUUAAUUUUUAUAAUAUAAAAACAACUUUUGACAGUGGAUCUCUUGGUUCUCGCAACGAUGAAGAACGCAGCAAAAUGCGAUAAGUAGUGUGAAUUGCAGAAUACGUGAAUCAUCGAAUCUUCGAACGCAUAUUGCACUUUUUUAGUUUACUAAAAAAGUAUGUCUGUUUGAGUAUCAGUAAAAUAUUCUCAUAAAAAACAUUGUUUUUUUAUGGUUAUGAGUGUUUUACAACGAUAACAAGUUGUUUCACUUUAAAUUCUUUGUUAUCAAAAAAAUCAUUAAAAGCUAAUUUUAAAGAUUUUUUAAAAUUGGAUAAAAUUUUCCCGUAAAAAGGAAUAACCUAAACAAUUUUAAAAAAUUAAAAUUGGUUUGAUUUUUUUUGAAACCCAAAGGAAAAAAAAACGAAAUUAACUUGAUCUCAAAUCAGAUAAGAGUACCCGCUGAACUUAAGCAUAUCAAUAAGCGGAGGAAAAGAAACUAACUAGGAUUCCCUCAGUAACGGCGAGUGAAGCGGGAAGAGCUCAAAUUUGAAAUCUUCAAGGUUUUACCUUGACGAAUUGUAGUUUAAAGAAGUGUUCUCUGUUGGAGUUUUGGUAAAAGUUCUUUGGAAAAGGACAUCAUAGAGGGUGAGAAUCCCGUAUUUGACCAUUAUCUCCAGCUUUGUGAUACACUUUCAAAGAGUCGGAUUGUUUGGGAAUGCAGUCCAAAAUGGGUGGUAAUUUCAUCUAAAGCUAAAUACUGGCGAGAGACCGAUAGCGGACAAGUACCGUGAGGGAAAGAUGAAAAGAACUUUGAAAAGAGAGUUAAACAGUACGUGAAAUUGUCAAAAGGGAAGCGUUUGACACCAGUGUUGUUUUCUCGAAAAUCAAUUAAAAAAGGCCGGGUUUUGUGUUGUAUUGACUUUAUCAGCUUUCUGCACUCUUUUCUUGUCUUUUUUAAUGCACUUUUCGUUUAACAAGUCAACAUCAAUUUCUUUUGUUGUAAAAGGGUCAUUGGAAGGUGGCUUUCUUUUCGGAGAAAGUGUUUAUAGCCUUUGGCCUCUGCAAUCGGAGAGAUUGAGGUCUGCAGCGUAGAUCCUUCGGGGUUAGAUACAUUUGUGCUAAGUUAUAGCCUUUCAUAGACAGCUUGUUGACUAUGAUCAGUCAUGUAGCUUACUCGCUUAUGCUAUUUUACCUACGCUUAGGAUGUUGAG